AGGGUUUUAACCAUCGACUGCAUGCAGGAUUGAUGAGUUUUGUGUAGGUUUGCUCCCCCCUAAUGAGGGAAAUAAUCAUUUUAUAAUCAGCAAUAGUAAACAAAACACAGAAAACAUUUCAGGACUUUCCAUACACUGUAAAAGGCAGAGUAUUUCAUGAUUUAUGUAUUUUUGAUUUAUUAGUAAAAGAUUGAGUAAAGUCCUUUUCAAAGUAAAACUGCUAAAUUUGACUCUAACCCACCACCACAAAUAGAUUCCAGUCCUGUGAGAAACACUGAGCAGCGUAAGCAGCAGUGAGCUUCUACUGCUGGAAACUUCCAGACAUGCACCUCAGUCCAGCGAUGAUGAGUCUGACCCAGAGUCUGAGACGGCAGAGCAGGUUACUAAAAGCAGUCUCCAGAGCAGAGUCUAUAAGCCAGCAACAUAAUGACUGAAGAUGAUCCAGAUGUGGUGGGUAGGGAGAGACCUCACAGCAGAAAUAAUGAUGACACCCAAAGCAAAACAGGAGAGCAACUGGCAGAACGGCCUCAGGAACCCAUAGAAAGCACCAGUAUGAUUAUGACCAUGUUCCAGAGGGGACUCUAGAGAGGACUGUGGCCCCAUUGCAGAGAUGGAAAAGACUACUCUACCCAAGUAAUAGUACAGUUACUCAGGUUAAAAUGUAUUUAAGUAGAAGUUAAAGUACUGGUCUAUAAAUCUACUAACAUAAAAGUGAAAAGUAAGUCAUUUAAAAUUUACUCUGAGUAGCUACUUUUGGGGCUUUCACAGUGAAAUCUGACCUGUCCUUAAUGUGCAAUAAAAACAAGAAAAUAUGGAGCUCCAACCAGGUUGUUUGAUAUAAUGUUUGACACCUAACCUAAAGUCCAAUGCAGCAGCUGUUUAGGGAAGAAAUGUGGAAUCAUUCUCUGCUGUGUGCAUGUACUGACUGUCAUGUGUUGUGAAAGCCAAACUACUGGUCAUGUUCAUGUUGUUGACCGAAAGCUUGGACCUCCUUUUGGCUUUUAGUGUUUUUUUGUUGUUUUUUCUUUAACUCAGUACUUGAUGCUUUUUAAAAUGUCAUAAGGUAAAAUACUUUAAUCAAAAAAAUACUGAAGUAAUAGGGAUUUUUAAACCUGGACAAAAAAGUAGAAGUACACAGAAGAGCUACUCAUUUACAGUAACUUGAGUAAAUGUAAUGAGUCACUUUCUACCCCUGCCCCAUUGUCAACAUAAACCACUUCAACCCAGCCUUCAUAAGCAACACAUGGAUGAGUACUCUAUAAACCAUUAUGUUGUUGAGUUUUAAUGCACCUUACAUCCCUGACUUUUACACCACACAAUCAAGAGGGGGAAAGUUGGAGACAGACUGGCACUAACUGACUUAUUACUAGCUUGUUUAGAGGAAAGGUGCUUGAGUAAGGAGAAUCAAAUGAAUAAUAAUAAUAAUACAUUUUAUUUGUAAGUGCCUUUCUGAACAUUUAAGGUCACUUUAUAGAUAAAACCAAGCACAAUGAAAACAAUAGAUAAAAGAAAACACAAUAAUAAAACCGGACAAAGAAAUUACAAAGAGUAGGCAAUCCUGAACAGGCGAGUUUUGAGUCUAGAUUUGAAGAGAGGGAGAGAGUCAAUGCUUCGGGUGUCUGGUGGGAGUGAGUUCCAGAGUUGAGGAGCAGAGCGGCUGAAAGCUCUGCUCCCCAUGGUGCUGAGACGGGCAGAGGGCACGGUGAGGUGGAUGGAGGAGGAGGAUCUGAGGGAGCGGGAGGAGGUGGCUAUGUGGAGGAGAUCAGAGAGAUACGGGGGACAAGAUUGUGGAUGGCCUUGAAUGCAUACAGGAGGAUUUUAAAUUCUAUUCUGAAUUUAACCGAGAGCCAGUGGAGCUGCUGUAGGACGGGGGUGAUGUGGUGAAAUGAGGGGUUUGUCCUUCACCUCUCAAGUUUUUAGUUUUCAAAUGUCAGUUUACUAUUUUUCGGUUUAGUUUUCAUUUUCAUAAAUGCUCUGGGUUAAGUUUUUAUGCACUUGUUGUUAGCUUUGUUAAUCUAUUUUAAAUAAAAAGUCUUUUAAAAUGGCUUCUUGCUGUAACUUUUUCCCCUCUGCUUUUCGCCCCUUUUGGCGUCGUAAGUAAAUGAGGAGGACCCAGAACCAGAGGAAGACCCGAUUGCUAGCAAGGAGUGGGA